rnacentral:rRNA from 1 species
CAGCCGCCGCGGUAAUACGUAGGGUGCAAACGUUAAUCGGAAUUACUGGGCGUAAAGCGUGCGCAGGCGGUUCUAUAAGACAGAUGUGAAAUCCCCGGGCUCAACCUGGGAACUGCAUUUGUGACUGUAGAGCUGGAGUGCGGCAGAGGGGGAUGGAAUUCCGCGUGUAGCAGUGAAAUGCGUAGAUAUGCGGAGGAACACCGAUGGCGAAGGCAAUCCCCUGGGCCUGCACUGACGCUCAUGCACGAAAGCGUGGGGAGCAAACAGGAUUAGAUACCCGCGUAGUCCCUGUCUCUUAUAC